AAAACCCGCACCCUGGACUGUGAGC
rnacentral:piRNA from 1 species